rnacentral:snoRNA from 1 species
AGCCUCUCAGGGUCACACCUGGAGAGUUUCCAGUCCUCUACCAGGCUCGACUACAGGAGGGAGAGUCAAGCAGAGGCCUGUCCAUUCCAUUCCAGCUUGGGCAGUGGCUAGCCAGUGGAAGGCAAUCUGCUACAAGU